CUGUGCUUAGCUAAACGCUAAAGAGGGAAAGUUGCGGAUUUUCAACCCUUUGGAAGCGAGUCAUCCAGUGGAGAUUUACCGGCGGGUAAACACGGACCUCCGGGUCGUAGAGAAGAGUGAUUUCAACACUGGCCAUUGAGCUUUCCACCUUGCUGCAAUGAUGGAGAGCUUCACUACCAAACCAACACAACAUCACUGUUAGGUGUGGACAGAGAUGCAACACAUCACACAACCUUUCAACCCACAGAGAGCUUGUUUUGUUAGAGAUGAAUGAAAAUGAUUUCAUUUUACGGAGUAUUGGAGCCGAAUCCCCCCCCCCCCCGAUCCCACUGAAGUUAAAGCGCCUCACUUCCUGCUCACAGAUGGACUACCCGAUAGUGAGAUGCUGCUUCUAUUUUGGAUGCUGUAUGUCUGCGUGUUAGCAUGUGUAUGUGUGCAUUAAAAUGAAAGACAAUCUCAUUUGGCUGUUAUUUGCAUUUUUUAACAUUAUGUUCUUUUGACGGGUGAAAUUGUGCCCAAUCAUUAAACCUAACUUGUGACUCGUGGCAAAUUAUUAAUUAUUUGAAUAAAUUCCUCAAAGCUUG